rnacentral:lncRNA from 1 species
GAAAGAGUUUUACAAAAUCACCACCAGACUUGACCGAAUUCCCAGCAGCGCCAGAGAAGCCUGUUGUCAGUGAUGUCACAGAUACGAGUGUUCACAAGUCAUGGAAACUAUUUCUUGAUACAGACCGGUGUAUCUCCAGUUGAUUGUACUGAUUAGAGUACUUCGGAAAUGGCUUAAAAUUAUCAGAGUCCUGGAAGGUAGCAAGAGCCCGUUAUACCAGUACAGAUAUAACUAUUGAUUGACUGGUUCCAAACACUACUUGUGUUUUCCUUGUCAGAGCAGUAAACAGCCAUGGGAAAAUGGGGACCCAGUCCACUAGAAAGGUCACAAUGUGGUACCAACAAUUACCCUCCCAGUAGCUGAGAUAGAAGAAAGAUUACUAGACAUUCAGAUGCCCGUGCUGCGAGGAGAAGUUGU